CACACAGUGAUGGGUCUCGAAGACAGCGGCAUGCAGCUUUCUUCCCGCUUUGACUGACACAGCUUUGAACCCCACGGAUUGAAUUCAGGGACAAAUGGAACGGGCGCCAUGCCUAGGAGCUACUGCAAUAAGGGUGUCUGCCACGAAGUAGAUGGAAAAGGUAAGGGAGGUCAUGGUGAUGAGGGUUUGCAAGUGCCCAAAAAAAUCAGGGAGAGCCUGCCGACCCUUGUGGCGCAUCAUGGCAGCAGUCAAGUGAAUGUGAAAACAAGAGAAAGCUUUGCGGAAUAUUGAUUUAAUGGCGCAGCCGGAGCAGGGGAGGGCGGCAAGAUGUGCGCUCCAGAUUACAUGCGCUCUAUUUCCCAACCAUACAGAACCUUGAGUUCCUCUGCCUGCACACUCUCGAGAACCAGAUGGAGAUAGUGACAGGAUGUUCUUUCAUUGGCCUUUGUGAAGUCCAGCAGUGUACAAACCAAUGGAGGAUGAGAACAAAAUAUACAGUACAUAAUAAAUAGUAAAUUAAUGGUCCCUUUGUUUGUAUAGAGAAGAUCAAAGCAUCUCCUUGGCAUCCAAACCUAUUGCUUGUGCCUUCCAAUUAGCUCCCUGCCUUCUAAAUAAUAAAUGUCUUCAGACCUCAUUACCAUCAAACAUAGAUUAGGAAGGUUGGUUUAGGUCUAUCCAACAUACAGUAGGAGCAAUUAUUGAAAUUUGUGUUCGGUGUGACAGAUUUUGACCACUUUUCACUAAUUGAAUAUAUUUUAUUCAAGAAAAAGAGGAACUGACACAAAUUAGUCCCACUAAAUUCCACAGCUACUGUAUAGUAAUUGCAUGGCAUCCUAUUUUUGCAAUCAUGAUGGGGAUAAGUUAAAAAUGUAAUUUUGACAAUGGUGGUCGACUACUACUGCAAAAAAAAACAAAAAAAAAACAUAUAUAUAUAUAUAUACAUAUAUUUAUUUUUUUUAACUCUCUGAAUUGAGUGCACCCGUCCUAACCGCACAGCCCCUCCCCUCCCUUGCAGCCGCGGAUGAAAAUAUGAACAGAAGAGGCGCACUCCCACUGUGGUGCACGGCCAAGUGAGGAGGCGCCUCGCAUAGCGUCCUGGGCCAAUGGCACACGGCGCAGCUUGGUCGCAGUGUGCGUGUCUGGCCAAUGGCGCACGCCCCCCCUGCUCACAUGACGCCAUUCUAUAUGUUGGCUCUCCUUUCAAUGCUCAAUAGCGACCAACACAGGCAUCAUUGCAGACUUGACACCGGCCAAAUGGGACGUCCAACAUCUACGGUGUGCAGUGACAAUGUGCUUUAAAAAAAAAAAAAUCCAUCACAUGAAGAUGUGCACAUGAUGACUCUCACUGCCGAGGAAGGACGACACACUUUUCCGCAAGCAGACGACCGGAGAUGCACGGGUCGAGACACAAACGCCCAUAAGUUGCUAAAAUGAAUCUUCAGGUCAUGUACGGGGCUGCCAUAAGAGGAAGAAUCAAGAACAAGUGCCUCCAACACAGAGGGGGAAAAGACGAAAGUGAUGAAAGAGAGGUCCAGAUAUGAUGAAGGCACACAUACGACGGCACCUUGGGUCUGUCUGUGGUCUAACACCAGCAUAACAUGCUCGCCAUCCCCGCAUUUGUCGCCGCAUGCCACACACAGUAUUUCCUUUUACGGGCUGCAGAUAAAGACAGGCAACAUUCCAUCUGUGACGAGACAGAGGAAGUCAAGACGUUAACACACAAACACACACACACUAGAGGCGUGUGAGCAGGUGGGCAUUAAGUCAGGCAACUAAACAGAUCACGUUGCGGUUUGAUAUCAGCAGACAGAAAGAGGAGGCCGGUUUGUACCUGCGGGCAGUCAGCAGCACCCUCACCAGGAAUGUCCUCCCGCUUGUGAGACACAUAAAUGUAACUGUAGGCUUUCCUCUCAAACACCAACGUGACUGGCUAAAACGUCUUCAAAUUGCACUACUAAUCAUCACAAAUUUGAUCAGCAAAACUACAAUGGUAGUCAUAGGAAAGCAGACCAUCACCAAAUCAUAACAAACCUAAUUUGCAUCAGCAACAUCAUCAAAUACCCACUUUGUGUAUGCUUGAAUUUUGUGAUUACAAUUCAUACAUAAUUCAAUGAGAACUUAAGGCAAGAGUUCCACAACUUUGCAAUGCUGCACAGAAGUGGAAGAAAAACUCUCCCUAAAUGUGUCAUCGUUUGAUUUUUGCGUGAUCUUGCUAUCAGUUGACCAUAAAGAGAUUUAAAAAAUAAAUAAAUAAAAAGUAUCACCAAAUCCUUAGUGUUAUGUAUUGCGAACCCUUCUGAAGCAAUUGUUUGCAGUAAUACUAUAAUUGUACUUUAAACUGUGAUUUUUUUUUUUUCACUGGCUGCCAUGGCAACCCCAUAUUAGCUUCUUUAGUGGUGGUCAUUACCAAGGUGAAGUAAAGAAUAUCGCUCAGAUAAUGAAACUGCUCUACCCUCCUGUACUUUGCUUUCAAGUUCAACCUGAGCCAAGAAAGAAAAGGUUAUCUAUUGUCAUUAUAUUUCAGCACACAUUCACAUGGUACUCUGAUAUUGACGACAGGCACUUCCUUUGUUACUUUGGAGUAAUUUGAUCAUCCGUGUAUGAAAUUGUCUUUCUGGAAUAACGAGGAUGUUAUGACAAGGUAACCGGCAUCAAUAGGGAAACUUUGACGAUAUCAAUGACCCAGACUUGUUCUGCUAGUUUGCUAUUGUGGGAACUCCACAGGGCACCUUUGGCCGGGUAACCUAUUGUGUAUUAUGAGCUGUAGUGGUGUGAGAAUUGAGCUGGCCACCAAGCAGAACCGAGUAUAGGGAAACUCUUUAGGAGGGACUAAAUAAGGAGUGCUAACAAUUCCCUUCUCCUGUGCAGAUUUACUUUGUUGGUAAGCGCCUCGUGAACAUUUACAUUUUUAAGAAACCACCACCUCCGCUCAUCCAAAGAUGACUCAGUGGUUAAAUGUCAGAGCUGUCCAUGCCAUUAAGGCCAACGCGUUUGAAGGCUGGACACCCUCAAACCCCACCCUCACCUCCCCAUGUCUCUUCUUAUUCCUCCCUCGCUUCCACUCUGACUUUGCCUUCAUCCGCCAUCAUCCAUCUCCCACACAUCCAGGCUGGUUUGAGGGCUGAUCUGUGCACAGACCUUGUCAUUCACAUUAGGGCAACAUUGUCAGCUCAGGGCCAUUCCCUCUCUCCUUCUCUCUCUCUCCAUGGCCCAGAUCUUUCUUCCUGUCACCCUCGUCCUCAGGCCAGAGAAGACCUUAUAAAGCAACAUCCUUCUCAUCCACUUCUGUCAAUUCCAACACUGUCAUUCAAAUCCUGUUUCGUGAGGGAGCACAGAAGUCCAGUUUUGAACAUCCCUCACAGCAAGGCCUGUGCUUUUUUGGGUCCAAACUUGGUGUUGCAGUGGCAAGCAACCACUUGAUUUUUUUAAUUUGGAUUUUUUUUUUUGCGCAGGCACAGAGGCAGAAGAUGAAAAUGCAGGAGAAUUAGACAGCGCACCAUGCAUGUAUAAAAUGAAUAUCUGAAGGAGUUUAAUGAUUGUUAUCAGCGUGGUAUUUUGUUUCAAAUUGCUUAAUCAACUUAGUGACCGUCUGUUCUUUAAAGGUUUCCCAAUUGCAUACUUAGCUGCUGGCCCCAUCUGGACUCUUUGCCUCUGAUCUACAGUUACAUGUUUUCUAUGAGCAGAUUAACAAUGUUGCCUGGAAAAGCAACAACACCCCAAUGUUUAGUAAAACCUUUCACGCAAGGCGUUGGUCAGUUUUAGUCGUUGAAGAGCAAGGUUUACAUCAUAGCAAAACUGAUUAUUAAUUUAGGUGAGUAGACAGUUUCAUCCUGCACGUUGCAAGAUGCACUCUUGACAUUAUAGCGCCCUGUAGACCACACCACACCUAAAAACUGCCAUGACUCAGCAGUUACGAGAUGACAUCUUUCUCUUUCUCAUGCUAUUUUAAAGGAAAUAAAGCCUGUUUCGAAACACUGACACUUAGUGUCAUAAUGAGAAUGUGUUAUAGGAGUUAUGUGGAUACAACACUUGGUGACAAUUCAUGACAGGCCAGUGUUGACAUUGCUGGCAUUUAAUAAUAAGUGAAGCAAAGCCAGUUAAUUGUGCAAGGGUCUUGUUAGUGGAGAACAUGGAGUGUGCAUAGGCUCUAAUAAUACGUUUAUACAAGUUCCUGUUUUAAUUCUCUUUUACUGUAAUUCUCAGGUUCAGUAGUGCACACGUAAAUACGGGAUAUAUGCAUAUGUAUACAAAUAUGUCAAGUAAGCUUACUAAUGAAAUUGUGUUUAGAAUUAGCAUUGUGUGUAUACUGUAGGCAUUUGCACAUUGUGGCCAAGCCAAGAAGACGGUAUUAAAGUAUGGUAAAACCGUGAGAGCAUUUUUUUGACAUAGAAACAUUGCGGCUGUGUUUUUUUUUUUGCUAUCCCUGGUAACCAUUGGGUUUGUGCUUGCCCCAGUGAACAUUCAACGCUGUCGGUGAGUUUGGCUAAAUUGGAAAACCAUCGACCGUUGAUUGUACCCUGUAGCAGGCUGUUACCCCAAAAAUAAAUAUGCAGAUCCUGCACAAAGGCAUUGGCAAUGACUCAUUGACCCUUUUCUACAGGCAAGAUGACAAUUUCUUUCUUUCUUUUUUUUAAAAGAAAAACAACUACAAAGGUCACAAUCAACAUUCAUUGCUGUCGGUGGGUUUAACUGUAUAGAAGAGCUCACUGAACGAUGAAUGCAACUGUGUCCCAGAUUUCAGCCGACCAUCACAACGAAUAAUGUCACGAUAUGCUGAUGAUGCUAUUGUUUAUAUCUGUGCCUGCCCCGCUCCAAGCCUACCACCAAUAACAGGCAAACACGGCCUGCGCGAACUGACAGGAAGUUCAGAUUGCAUCUCGGUCUCACUGGCUGCGCUGGAGGGGUUCGAGUCUCACAACAAAAGCAGAACAGGAAGGAGGGGGGGAUGCAGAGAUAGUUGGGGGAAAAAUGCAUUUACUUUUGAUAUAUGAUUAUAAAAUAUUAACUGAAGCAAAUAAAUAUAUCCUAGAUGACCCUAUGUACCCAACAAGUUUCCUUGAGUGUUUUUUCCACUUAUAUAUUUUUUAACAAAUACUUUUUUAAUAAAGGUGGACAUGAACAGAA